UGUUAUUCUUUUUCAGGGUCUAGUUUAGAUACUAAAGUCAUGAUCAAACCAAGGCUUCUGCUGCCCUUGUGAUAUUUACUUACCAAUGGGGAAGAAAUAAAACAAAUAAAUAUAUAGUCAUAUAAUGUGUAACAAUAUAUCAGGCAUUAGUAAGCUUCAGGAAGCAGAAUAAAGCAGGGUAAAAAAGUUGGCACUUCACAUAGAGUGGUCAUGGAAGGCAUCAUUAAAGAGGUGGCUUAAGCAGAGAGCCAAAUGAAGUGAAGUGAGAAGCCAUAUGAUUAUCUGGAGAGGAACAUUCCAGGUGAAGAAAACAGCCGCGGACAUGAUUGAGGACCAGCAAGGAGGUCGUUAAGACUGAAGUAGAGCAAACAAGGGAAGAGUGAUCUAACUGAGAGCGACUGAACAAUUUGGAAAGUACCUGAUAUAACAGUUGAGUAUUUUGGAGAAAAUUCUGCCAUGUGGAAAAGAAACUGCGAAAAUGAUUUCUAUCCCAUCCAUUCUGUUUAAGAAAAAACAAAAAGGAUUUUGGGGUGACCUUGAUCUGAUAGAAUGCACACUUUAGAAUACUCUCAUAGUAAAAAAA